rnacentral:rRNA from 1 species
UUUCCACCGGAGCUUGCUCCACCGGAAAAAGAGGAGUGGCGAACGGGUGAGUAACACGUGGGUAACCUGCCCAUCAGAAGGGGAUAACACUUGGAAACAGGUGCUAAUACCGUAUAACAAUCAAAACCGCAUGGUUUUGAUUUGAAAGGCGCUUUCGGGUGUCGCUGAUGGAUGGACCCGCGGUGCAUUAGCUAGUUGGUGAGGUAACGGCUCACCAAGGCCACGAUGCAUAGCCGACCUGAGAGGGUGAUCGGCCACAUUGGGACUGAGACACGGCCCAAACUCCUACGGGAGGCAGCAGUAGGGAAUCUUCGGCAAUGGACGAAAG